rnacentral:rRNA from 1 species
UACGUAGGGGGCAAGCGUUGUCCGGAUUUAUUGGGCGUAAAGAGCGUGUAGGCGGCCGUACAGGUCAGCUGUGAAAACUCGAGGCUCAACCUCGAGACGUCGGUUGAAACCGUAUGGCUAGAGUCCGGAAGAGGAGAGUGGAAUUCCCGGUGUAGCGGUGAAAUGCGCAGAUAUCGGGAAGAACACCCGUGGCGAAGGCGGCUCUCUGGGACGGUACUGACGCUGAGACGCGAAAGCGUGGGGAGCGAACAGG